rnacentral:rRNA from 1 species
UGCGUAGGCGGAAUAGUAAGUCAGUGGUGAAAUCCUGCGGCUCAACCGUAGAACUGCCAUUGAUACUGCUAAUCUUGAGUAUAGUUGAGGUGGGCGGAAUGUGUAAUGUAGCGGUGAAAUGCAUAGAUAUUACACAGAACACCGAUUGCGAAGGCAGCUCACUAAACUAUUACUGACGCUGAGGCACGAAAGCGUGGGUAGCGAACAGGAUUAGAUACCCUGGUAGUCC